UACCCGCUACAAACUCCCUAAGCAUCCUCGACGGGAGUAAAGCAUGCAUGGUACCCACGGAGCGAGGCAAGUCCGAGGAGAAGACACUCUCCGCCAUGCAAUUCAAAAGGGCUUUCAAGAAGGACCCAAGCUUCUUGGUCUCCAUUCGGGAACUAAAUGAGGAAGGAAAUAGCGGAACAUCGCCAAGCCAAGUCCCUCCACGAAUUCAAGCCGUCCUCGAAGAUUACAAGGAUGUGAUGCCUCCAGAACUUCCGAAGAAGCUCCCAACUCUGCGAGAGGUAGAUCAUGCGAUCGAGCUGGAACAAGGCGCGAAGCCACCAGCCUUGGCGCCCUACCGCAUGGCACCACCUGAAUUAGAGGAGUUGCGGAGACAACUUAAAGACUUGCUGGACGCAGGCUAUAUUCGCCCCUCAAAGGCCCCAUUCGGUGCACCGGUCCUCUUCCAAAAGAAAAAGGAUGGAUCGCUGCGGAUGUGCAUCGACUAUAGAGCGCUCAACAAGAUCACCAUCAAGAACAAAUAUCUGAUUCCCUUGAUUGCGGACUUGUUCGACCAGCUUGGCAAAGCGCGGUACUUCACCAAACUUGACUUGCGCUCCGGGUACUACCAAGUGCGCAUCGCCAAGGGAGACGAACCGAAGACAGCGUGCACAACAAGGUACGGGUCUUUCGAAUUCCUUGUGAUGCCUUUUGGUCUUACUAAUGCACCCGCCACAUUUUGCACACUCAUGAACAAGGUGCUCCAACCAUUCCUCGACCGCUUCGUGGUCGUGUACUUGGAUGACAUAGUGGUGUAUAGCACCACGCUUGAGGAGCAUGCCCAACACUUGCAACAAGUCCUCCAAGUACUUCGAGACAAUGAGCUCUUCCUCAAACUAGAGAAGUGCUCGUUUGCCCAACAAGAGGUGGAGUUCCUUGGCCACAAGAUUGCGGGUGGGAAGAUCAUGAUGGAGAAUGACAAAGUAAAGGCCAUCCUCGAAUGGGAGCCUCCCUCGAAAGUGCCAGAGCUUCGCUCAUUCCUUGGGCUGGUGAACUACUACCGUCGCUUCAUCAAGGGCUAUUCAGCCAAGGCGGCACCCUUGACGGAUAUGCUCAAGAAAAACAGAACAUGGCAUUGGUCUGAAGAGUGCCAACGGGCAUUCGAGGAGUUGAAGAAGGCAAUUUCGGAGGAACCAGUCCUCGCUCUUGGACCACACCAAGCCCUUUGAAGUUCAAACGGAUGCCUCGGAUUUCGCCAUAGGUGGAGUCCUUAUGCAAGAAGGCCACCCAAUAGCGUUCGAGAGUCGAAAGCUAAAUAACACGGAACGCCGCUACACGGUGCAAGAGAAGGAGAUGACCGCAAUCAUACAUUGCUUGCGGGUGUGGCGACAUUACUUGCUUGGCUCGCACUUCACAAUUAUGACGGAUAACGUGGCGACAAGUUACUUUCAAACUCAGAAGAAGUUGAGUCCGAAGCAAGCACGGUGGCAAGAUUUCCUUGCGGAAUUCGACUAUCGGCUAGAGGACAAACCGGGGAAAGCCAAUGUUGUUGCGGACGCUCUAAGCCGCAAGGCGGAAUUGGCAACACUUAGCAUGAGCCAACCGAAGUCCGACCUAGUCUCACGCAUCAAGGAAGGCCUCCAACAAGAUCCGCUAGCAAAGGAUUUGCUGGAGAAGGUGCUCGAGGGAAAGACAAGGCGGUUUUGGCAAGUGGAAGGCAUCCUCCUCACCAAGGGAGAUCGGCUGUUCGUGCCAAGGUGGGGAAACUUGCGGAAGGAAGUAAUCAAGGAGUGCCACGACUCUAAGUGGGCUGGUCACCCAGGAAUCGAGCGCACCACCGCACUAGUUCAAGCCUCGUAUUUUUGGCCGCACAUGAGGGACGACAUCAAGGCCUAUGUGCGAACUUGUCUUGUGUGCCAACAAGACAAGGUGGAUCAUCAACUUCCAGUGGGAUUGUUAGAGCCGCUACCACUAGCAAUAAGGCCAUGGGAGAGUGUCUCCAUGGACUUCAUCACAUCGCUGCCCAAAUCCGAAGGUUGCGGUAGCAUCAUGGUCGUUGUCGACCGGUACAGCAAGUAUGCUACAUUCAUUGCCGCACCCGUCGAUUGCAAAGCGGACGAGGCAGCCCGCCUAUUCGUCAAGCACAUUGUGAAGCUUUGGGGAGUUCUGAAGAGCAUUGUGAGCGACCGAGACCCUCGGUUUACUGGGCGGUUUUGGACGGAGCUCUUUAAGAUGUUGGGGACCGAUCUCAAGUUCUCGACAAGUUUCCACCCACAAACGGAUGGGCAGACCGAGCGCAUUAAUGGCCUCCUCGAGAUGUACCUGAGGCAUUAUGUGAGCGCUCACUAGCGAGAUUGGGCGAAGCUACUUGACAUCGCCCAAUUUUCUUAUAACUUGCAGCGAAGUGAGGCUACGGGCAAGAGUCCAUUCGAGAUCAUCAUGGGAUUCCAGCCCAUGACCCCCAAUGCCAUAGCCUCGACUUACGGAGGGAAAAGCCCCGCGGCACACAAGCUCGCCCGCGAAU
rnacentral:lncRNA from 1 species